UCCUCAGGUCAUUAUUUGGGUGCUGAAGGCAUGAGGGGUCAGAUCUGGGUUGAAGACACCCUGCCCUAGGUACCAGUAAGCUGGAGAUGUUCUGUCACUUCCAGGACGCUAGAGGCGGAGAGAGUCACUUGAGGGAGUUUCUGCUGUUCUUGCUGAUGAUUUUGCUACUUUGCUUACAGGUGUAGAGAACCUGGCUCCAGUGGACAACGGGUGCCCCGGACCCAUUUUGCUGUUUUCAGAAUUCUUUUUGGAAAGCUGACUCUGAUGCCAUCAUCACCAUGAGUUACCAUGACUACNUCAAACAUGAGAUCCACCAUCUCUCUGGGUCUUCGGCUGCCUGUCCUCAGUCUUGCCCAUGGGACCUGUGUGGUUUAUCCUAUGAGAAGAGAAGA